rnacentral:lncRNA from 1 species
AUUUUUAGACAUUUAUAACUGUGCUGUAUAAAUUCAUGCCAGGCAGAAACUUGGCAGAAACAGUCUCAGCUCCGAAGCCAGUUUGUAAGAGAGAGAAAGUAAUCUGGCCAUUGGUUAGGUCUCAACUCCAACCCUCAGCGGUUAGUGGCUUCCAUUGGGAGGCAGGUGGGAAUGGUGGGGUUAUCAUAGUCAGUAGCUUGUGUGAAUCAAGAGGUAGAAAGAAGUGAGGGAGUCUGAGGCCUUGCUAGCCACUGGGGGCCAAUCCUGCCCACCCUCCUUUCACAGAUGAGGACUACAGUCAUGGAUUUGGGGAGCCAGCACAGGAGGCCUGCACCCUCUUCAUGCUGAGGAUCAGAGGUCCACGUGGAUCGGCACCUCGAAACGUAGGAACUGCCAUAUUGGAUCAGAGUGUGGUCCAUCUUGUCUAAUCGCCUGUCUCUGACAGUGCCUAGCACCAGCUGCAUCAGAGGAAGGUGUAGAGACUCUGGAUCAACUGGCCAUUUCACUGUGCAAGAGGAAGCCCCGCAGCAGGAAAAACACAGCAGGAAGCACUGCUAUUUGCAAUCCAGAGGUUGUAGCAGCCGCUGCAGAUAGGCAGAAAAAUUCACCAGCUCCAGACUCAAGGAUUUCCCCAGCACCCAGCUUGAAGCAAUAUUGAUUGUUUGUGGCUGAAUCCUCAGGAAAAAGGCCCCCUGGAAAUGAGCCUAAGAUAGAAUGAGCACUUCAGAAGAGUUGCAGCUGUGUUGUUCCCAGGAUAUCAGAGACAAGGUGGGUCAGGUGAUCUCCAUCCUGAAUUCUUCAUUUGUCACCACAGGCCAGACUGACAAGCUGUGUUUUCCCUUUUCCAAAGCAGUGGAAGCAGAAAAAUCAGAUUUGGCCUUAGUUGCAUAUGGAACAGCAACAGCUUCUCCUAAUGACUUUCCCUAAAUUCUUGAAAUGUGGCUAAUGCAGGCACAUUAAUCAUAACAUUUAUUUACUGAUGAGCUGGAAGCAUGAAACAGAUUUGUUCACUGCCGCUCAAACAUAACAUUCUCUAGUUCAGAGCUUUGGAGAAAGCCAGAGAGAGUUUAUGGAAUUGGUGGUGGCUUUUGCAGACAUUGCCUAUUGUUCAAAUGCAGGAAUAUUUAUCAGUGACUCACUCACUAAACAGCACAGUGAAGCACUCCAAGGAAAGUUGAGUGUUUCUGGGCUUUUUAAAUCCUGUGGGAAGGAGAGAAGAGGGUGCAAUGGGUUAGGACACUAGUCUUUGCUCUUGGAGACCAAAUGCAAAACCCAGCUCAGAUCACAACUAACAUGGGAUUUGGUGGUCUUGUCCUUGUCCCUGUUGAUUAAGGAAAUACGUGAAACUCCCUCCCCCAGUUUUCAACUGUUAAGUGUGUUUGAUCCUUGUUCUGGCUGUUUUUCAGGCUUUCCGAAGUGCUGAGAAACUAGACACUUACUUGUUCCAGCCUGUAGGGCUGACAGAGCUGAGGAGCAGUUUCUUGCUUUUGUGAAAUUCUUCCUUCUGAGCUGGCAUGGCCUUUCCAAAACUGUGCGAGAAAAUUCCGCUUUGAAGCUAUUAAGCCAAAAUCUUCUAAGCUCUGUUGCUAACACGUGGAGAAGUGCUGCUUUUCCAGAGCUCAUUUUGAACUUGCUAAUUUUUGUGAUGGCUGUUCUAAGCCAUACUGUCUGCCAUAGGCCAUGAGGUGCCACUGUUGCAGCAUUGUCCCAGCCAUGUCCCCUUUCACAUGGCCAAAUCCUUUACACAUGCUGCACGGAGGGGUGGCAUAAGAGUCCCCUGCACCAGGAUGAUAUACUCAUGGCCAGUUACCUGAGCUUUGCACCCAGACACCAGUCACGGUGCAGUUCUAAGAGGCCUCUUCUCAACCCAGGAUGUGGGCCAUAUAGUGUUUGAAGUUCAUGGGAUUUUCAUUCAUGAAAAGGCAAC